CGUGAACGCAGCUCCUCAGCAGCAACUCGUCGAUAGUCAGCAUUCACACCUGUCGUCGCUCUCCUUUUUUAUUGCAUAUGACGCGACCUAGUGUUGUUGUUUUCUGUAUUGAUCCCCUCAAAUUCCUUAAAUGAUGUGUCUUUAAUGUUCUAUCAUAGUUUUUUUUUUUUUUUCUUAUUUUUGAAGUAUAAAUAGUUUUUGCAUCACUACCCCAAGUUUUCAUACAUGGGUCAAAUAUGACCUUUAUGUAUUUCCAAUGGAAAUAUUGUUUUAUGGAAGAUGGAUGAUUUUCUGCCAAUCAAAAGGUUGAGGGCAGGUCUUCCUAUGGUGCUACAGACUGCGGAAGCCCUGUUUACUCAUAUCUUCCGGCACUACGGGGUGCCUGAGGAUAUACUGUCUGAUCGGGGUCCCCAGUUCACGUCGAGAGUGUUGAAGGCGUUCCUGGAACAUCUGGGGUUCUCGGUCAGCCUUACCCCGGGUUUUCACCCCGAGAAUAACAGUCAGGUAGAGAGAGUCAACCAGGAUGUGGGCAGGUUUCUGCGGUCCUAUUGCCAGGACCGGCCGGGGGAGUGGGCGGCAUUCGUCCCCGAGGUCAGGUGUCUGCGUGACGCUGGAGCCGCGCGUCAAGGGGGGGAUACUGUCACGAUUUCCGCCAAUGUCGGCUCCUCUCCUUGUUCGGGCGGCGUUCAGCGAUCGACGUCACCGGCUUUCUAGCCAUCGCCGCUCCAUUUCUCAUAUAUCCAUUUGUUUUGUCUUGUUCCAUACACACCUGGUUCCAAUUCCGUUAUCACUGCAUGUAUUUAGUCCUCUGUUCCCCUCCAAGUCUUUGUGUGUAAUUAUUUUUUGUUAUGUGGAUAUUGUCAUACUUUUGUUAUGUUCCGUGUUUUUGGCACUUUUAUGUUUUUAAUGUGCUGUCAUUUUUGGACCGGAAUUAAAGUGCACCUGUUUACUACACUCUGCUCUCCUGCACCUGACUUCACCUCCCGUACACACUCAUAACACCCCAAGCACAUGGGGUUGGGUAGAUGGUUUUGGGAACCCCCAAUUUAGGCGUGUAACUUGGUCCUCAGAGUACGAAACUUGUGGGAGGCUUCAAUGUAUUGAUUUCCAAAGAAGACUUUCUGGAACAUCUCAAAGGUUUUUUUUUUUUUAAAUCAAUAGAUGAGGCCCAAAAGCAAGAUACAUGCCUGUGCAACAAUGGGAAUACCAGCCAGGACCUCGGCUCCUUCAAUGCAGAUUGCAUGCUCUGGAUCCUGAUGCAGAUCACUCACUGUUGAAGGAUUUUUAUCAAUAAUGACUAAAUAAUGUAUACAUUUGGCGUAGAGUUAUAACUAACAGAUUUAUAUGCUGUCUCUUGAAGAAUAUGUUUGUUCAUAGGCCAAGAGGAAGGGUCAACAGACAACUUGUGAUCACAGUGAAACUAACAACAGGAAAUAUGUCUGGUCCCCAACCAGGGAGGGGAGAAACUGUUGGGAGUGCAGUAGAUUGUGUAACAUGUGGUAGCAUAAGAUAAGUAAUAUGUAUUAUUUGGUAUAGAAUUGAUAAGCAGCUUCAUCAUUGUCCAAGAGGAGGAGGAGGGACAUUUCGUACGACAUGACGCUAUGUGUGAUAUAUAAACUAAUGUACAUGUGAUUAUGUUCAGAGCUCUCGAGAAUAAACGCUAUUGGCUAAUUUUGA
ensembl:lncRNA